GGAGAUGUAGGUCAGUGGAAGAGUGCUUGCCUAGCAUGCAUGAGGCCCUGGGUUUAAUUUCCAAUAUCACCA
rnacentral:tRNA from 1 species